rnacentral:rRNA from 1 species
AGGGCACCACCAGGAGUGGAGCCUGCGGCUUAAUUUGACUCAACACGGGAAAACUCACCCGGCCCGGACACCGUAAGGAUUGACAGACUGAGAGCUCUUUCUUAAUUCGGUGGGUGGUGGUGCAUGGCCGUUCUUAGUUGGUGGAGCGAUUUGUCUGGUUAAUUCCGAUAACGAACGAGACUCUGGCCUAUUAAAUAGACGAUAUAUCUAUCUAGUAUAUCGCGCUUCUUAGAGGGACAAGCGGCGUCCAGCCGCAUGAAAUAGAGCAAUAACAGGUCUGUGAUGCCCUUAGAUGUCCGGGGCUGCACGCGCGCUACACUGAAAGAAUCAGCGUGCGUUUUACCUAGUUCGGAAGAACCGGGUAACCCAAGUAAAUUCUUUCGUGCUUGGGAUAGGGAAUUGCAAUUAUUUCCCUUGAACGAGGAAUUCCCAGUAAAUGCGGGUCAUAAGCUCGCGUUGACUACGUCCCUGCCCUUUGUACACACCGCCCGUCGCUACUACCGAUUGGAUGACUUAGUG